rnacentral:rRNA from 1 species
GAUGAACGCUGGCGGCGUGCCUAACACAUGCAAGUCGAGCGAAAAGAUCAGGAGUUUGCUCCCCUGACGUCAGCGGCGGACGGGUGAGUAACACGUGGAUAACCUACCUAUACGAAUGGGAUAAUAUCGGGAAACCGGAGCUAAUACCGGAUAAUAUAUUGCACUGCAUGGUUCACUCGUGAAAGACGGUUUUGCUGUCACUUAUAGACGGAUCCGCGCCGCAUUAGCUAGUUGGUAAGGUAACGGCUUACCAAGGCUACGAUGCGUAGCCGACCCGAAAGAGUGAACGGCCACACUGGAACUGAGGAACAGUCGAGACACCGGCAGGGGGCAACAGUAGGGAAUCUUCCGCGAUGGACGAGAGCCGGACAGAGCAACGCCGCGGAAAUGAUGAAGGUCUUCGGAUCGUAGAGCUCUGUAGGUAGGAGGGAAGAAAAGUGUAAUUAACUGGGCACGUCUUGACGGUACCUGGACAAAAAGCCACGGCUAACUACGUG